UACGGGGGGAGCAAGCGUUGUUCGGAUUUACUGGGCGUAAAGGGCGCGUAGGCGGUCGUGACAAGUCACUUGUGAAAUCUCCGGGCUUAACUCGGAACGGUCAAGUGAUACUGUCGGACUAGAGUACAGAAGGGGCAACUGGAACUCUCGGUGUAGCGGUGAAAUGCGUAGAUAUCGAGAGGAACACCAGUGGCGAAGGCGAGUCCCUGGACAACGACUGACACUGAGGCACGAAAGCUAGGGGAGCAAACAGG
rnacentral:rRNA from 1 species